rnacentral:rRNA from 1 species
UGAGCCAAGUUUAGGGUUUUCUCAAAACCCAAGCAGUAUUGAACUGAAGAGUUUGAUCAUGGCUCAGAUUGAACGCUGGCGGCAGGCCUAACACAUGCAAGUCGAGCGGAUGAAGGGAGCUUGCUCCUGGAUUCAGCGGC